CGAAAUUGUAGUUUAAUUAAAACAUUAGCAUUGGAAGCUAAAAAAUAGGUAUAUAACCCUACAUUUCGA
rnacentral:tRNA from 1 species